GGGAUAGAAAAGUAGCCUUAUACCAUUGUAAUUACUGCAACAAAGAUUUAUCAGGGAGGAUUCGCAUGAAGUGUGUGGCAUGCCCAGAUUUUGACCUCUGUGUGGAGUGCUUUUCUGUUGGAGCAGAGCUUACACCUCACAAAAGCAAUCAUCCUUAUAGGGUUAUGGAUAAUUUGUCAUUUCCUCUACUAUGUCCAGAUUGGCAUGCAGAUGAGGAGAGCUUAC
rnacentral:misc_RNA from 1 species